rnacentral:misc_RNA from 1 species
CCUGAGUUUACAACUCCCAAACCCCUGUGAACAUACCUAUACGUUGCCUCGGCGGAUCAGCCCGCGCCCCGUAAAAAGGGACGGCCCGCCCGAGGACCCCUAAACUCUGUUUUUAGUGGAACUUCUGAGUAAAACAAACAAAUAAAUCA